GGCUGAAUUCAGAGUUCAAGCAAGUGGCCUUGAAAGGGUCCAUCCAGGUGCACCAUAUUAAGAUGUUUUGGAGUGAUUUGAAUGGUCAAAAGGAUCUUUAGGAAAUAUGAUAAUACAAGUUUUAGAUGUUUUUGCGGAGGUAUAAAGUUCUAGAGCAUCUCAUGCAAACUUUGAUUAAUUAGCUGGUUCAAGCAAGACUGAAAUAAUGCUAUACAUUCAUAUGGUUGAUGAAUUUGCUAAGAUAUAAUUCUUCCUGCA
rnacentral:lncRNA from 1 species